AGAGUUUGAUCCUGGCUCAGGAUGAACGCUAGCGGCAGGCUUAACACAUGCAAGUCGAGGGGUAACAGGUUUUAGUUUACUAAGAUGCUGACGACCGGCGCACGGGUGAGUAACGCGUAUACAAUUUACCUUUUACAGGAGAAUAGCCCAGAGAAAUUUGGAUUAAUGCUCCAUGGUAUUAUAGAAUCGCAUGGUUUUAUAAUUAAAGUUCCGACGGUAAGAGAUGAGUAUGCGUCCUAUUAGCUAGAUGGUAAGGUAAUGGCUUACCAUGGCAACGAUAGGUAGGGGUCCUGAGAGGGAGAUCCCCCACACUGGUACUGAGACACGGACCAGACUCCUACGGGAGGCAGCAGUGAGGAAUAUUGGGCAAUGGAGGCAACUCUGACCCAGCCAUGCCGCGUGAAGGAAGACGGCCCUAUGGGUUGUAAACUUCUUUUAUACAGGAAGAAACUUAUCCACGUGUGGAUAACUGACGGUACUAUAAGAAUAAGCACCGGCUAACUCCGUGCCAGCAGCCGCGGUAAUACGGAGGGUCCAAGCGUUAUCCGGAAUCAUUGGGUUUAAAGGGUCCGUAGGCGGGCAAUUAAGUCAGGGGUGAAAUCCCACAGCUCAACUGUGGAACUGCCUUUGAUACUGGUUGUCUUGAGUAUAGAUGAAGUGGGCGGAAUGUGUCAUGUAGCGGUGAAAUGCUUAGAUAUGACACAGAACACCGAUUGCGAAGGCAGCUUACUAAACUGUAACUGACGCUGAGGCACGAAAGCGUGGGGAGCAAACAGGAUUAGAUACCCUGGUAGUCCACGCCCUAAACGAUGAUCACUCGAUGUUGGCGAUAUACCGUUAGCGUCCAAGCGAAAGCAGUAAGUAAUCCACCUGGGGAGUACGGUCGCAAGAUUGAAACUCAAAGGAAUUGACGGGGGCCCGCACAAGCGGAGGAGCAUGUGGUUUAAUUCGAUGAUACGCGAGGAACCUUACCUGGGCUUAAAUGCAGGACGACCGUCCGUGAAAACGGAUUUUCCUUCGGGACAGUCUACGAGGUGCUGCAUGGUUGUCGUCAGCUCGUGCCGUGAGGUGUCGGGUUAAGUCCCAUAACGAGCGCAACCCCUAUCCUUAGUUGCCAUCAGGUAAUGCUGGGGACUCUAAGGAAACUGCCUACGCAAGUAGUGAGGAAGGUGGGGAUGACGUCAAAUCAGCACGGCCCUUAUGUCCAGGGCUACACACGUGCUACAAUGGUCGGUACAGAGGGUCGCUACCUGGUGACAGGAUGCUAAUCUCAAAAACCGGUCUCAGUUCGGAUCGAAGUCUGCAACUCGACUUCGUGAAGUUGGAUUCGCUAGUAAUCGCAUAUCAGCAAUGGUGCGGUGAAUACGUUCCCGGGCCUUGUACACACCGCCCGUCAAGCCAUGGAAGCUGGGGGUACCUGAAGUCCGUGACCGCAAGGAGCGGCCUAGGGUAAAACUGGUAACUGGGGCUAAGUCGUAACAAGGUAACC
rnacentral:rRNA from 1 species